rnacentral:rRNA from 1 species
GUUGACCUCGGAUCAGGUAGGACUACCCGCUGAACUUAAGCAUAUCAAUAAGCGGAGGAAAAGAAACCAACAGGGAUUGCCCCAGUAACGGCGAGUGAAGCGGCAACAGCUCAAAUUUGAAAUCUGGCCUUCGGGUCCGAGUUGUAAUUUGUAGAGGAUGCUUUUGGCGCGGUGCCUUCCGAGUUCCCUGGAACGGGACGCCAUAGAGGGUGAGAGCCCCGUCUGGUUGGACACCAAGCCUCUGUAAAGCUCCUUCGACGAGUCGAGUAGUUUGGGAAUGCUGCUCUAAAUGGGAGGUAUAUGUCUUCUAAAGCUAAAUAUUGGCCAGAGACCGAUAGCGCACAAGUAGAGUGAUCGAAAGAUGAAAAGCACUUUGAAAAGAGAGUUAAAUAGCACGUGAAAUUGUUGAAAGGGAAGCGAUUAUGACCAGACUUGGGCUUGGUUGAUCAUCCGGCGUUCUCGCCGGUGCACUCUUCCGGCCCAGGCCAGCAUCAGUUCGCUGCGGGGGAUAAAGGCGUCGGGAAUGUGGCUCCCUCGGGAGUGUUAUAGCCCUUCGUGCAAUGCCCUGCGGUGGACUGAGGACCGCGCUUUAUGCAAGGAUGCUGGCGUAAUGGUCAUCAUCGAC